UCCACUUCCGCUUAGCAUACGCAUAUACAUUCAAAUCAUACCAGAUUUCACUUUAAUCUAACAAGAUCUAGGUUUGUUGGCGGACCAGAGUUUGCGUCUUUGGUCACAUCUCCCCAAGCAAACCGGACUUUCUAUAUAGAUUAAAUCGGAUUGAACGUGGCUGGUGUGAAUGCAACCUAAGUUUAAUUUGAUAAAGUCCGGUAUCAUGGAUGUGGAGCUUAUUUAUGAUAGGAUACUCAGACAACUCCUCUAUCCCAACAACAACAGCAACGUUUCUCUAUGAAGUUUGUGGCCUUCUAUAUCAUAUGUAUAACUGCUGCUGAAUGCCUUGUGAUGUGACUACUACAGGAAAAACCAAGAAAACUAAGAAGCAGGGAGAAUAUUUUCCCCUUCAGGAUUCAGUUUCACGAGUGGACAGAUGCUGUGAAAAUCUGGUCCGUCACAGAUGCAACGGAUUUUACAACCAGCACAUGGUACAGUAAACAGCUUGCAGAGCUGAUCGAUUGAGCUGGGAGUCGGUGACAUCGAACCUGGCCACUGUCUUCCACUCUUCCCAGCUUCACAGAGACGGAGAUUUCACUGCAGUCACAGGACUGCCAGGAAAAUGGGAUUAUCUGCCAUAAAUGCCAGCAAAUGGGAGAUGAGUAUUUGUAGUCACAGAUUUUCAAUGGGAAAAUCUCUAGGAAUGAAAUCUCUUACAGUUUUUGUUUCCUUUGUUUUGUUUUUUUUGCUUGAAAGUACCCUUGAGCCUAGCAUUUAAUUAUUGACUACUGAGCAGCAUCAGGGCUCAGCUGCAUUGAGCAAUUUCUUAAUGCGAAAGGAGGUUUUUCUUUUAUUUACACCUGCUGUGGACUGAAAAAUGUGAUUUAAAGAGACAACUGAGACUUAAAAUGCUAAAUAAAAACACAGCUUUUUAGAGAACACUGGAGAGCAACAAAAAACUUAAAAAGAUGUCAAAUAAAAACAGAGUUUUUGGGCGUUACA